AGAAAAGCAGGGGAUCGCAAGACCUUGCGCUUUUGGAGCGGCCGAUGUCUGAUUAGCUAGUUGGUGAGGUAAAGGCUUACCAAGGCGUCGAUCAGUAGCUGGUCUGAGAGGACGACCAGCCACACUGGGACUGAGACACGGCCCAGACUCCUACGGGAGGCAGCAGUGGGGAAUUUUGGACAAUGGGGGAAACCCUGAUCCAGCCAUGCCGCGUGAGUGAAGAAGGCCUUCGGGUUGUAAAGCUCUUUCAGCCGGAACGAAACGGUCACAGCUAAUACCUGUGACUACUGACGGUACCGGAAGAAGAAGCACCGGCUAACUACGUGCCAGCAGCCGCGGUAAUACGUAGGGUGCGAGCGUUAAUCGGAAUUACUGGGCGUAAAGCGUGCGCAGGCGGUUUUGUAAGUCAGAUGUGAAAUCCCCGGGCUUAACCUGGGGACUGCGUUUGAAACUACAAGGCU
rnacentral:rRNA from 1 species